CGGUGGGGUGCCGGAGUGGUUUAACGGCUCCGAUUUACAUUCGGCAAAGCGGCGCUAGCACCACCGCUCAGGGGUUCGAAUCCCUUACCCACCGA
rnacentral:tRNA from 1 species